AUUGUAAUGCCCAAGAAUCAUCUUGAAGGUCCUAUUCCAGUGGAGUUUUGUCGGCUUGAUUCGCUUCAGAUUUUGGACAUUUCAGACAACAACAUAUCUGGAAGUUUACCAUCUUGUUUCUAUCCUCUUUCUAUCAAACAAGUUCACCUAUCGAAAAAUAUGUUACAUGGACAACUAAAAGAAGGUACAUUUUUUAAUUGCUCUUCCCUUGUGACGUUAGAUCUUAGCUAUAACUACUUGAACGGGAGCAUUCCAGAUUGGAUUGAUGGGCUUUCUCAGUUAAGCCACCUUAACUUGGCUCACACGACAUCCCUCCGAAUAUUAGAUGUUUCUUUUAACCAACUUACUGGAAGCAUCUCUUCAUCCCCCCUCGUUCAUUUGACAUCCAUUGAAGAGCUGAGGCUUUCAAACAAUCAUUUCCGGAUCCCAGUUUCACUUGAACCACUUUUCAAUCACUCAAAACUCAAGAUUUUCGAUGCGAAAAAUAACGAAAUAAAUGGAGAAAUAAAUGAGUCACAUUCUUUGACCCCAAAAUUCCAGUUAAAAUCUCUCUCAUUGUCCUCCAAUUACGGGGAUAGUGUCACAUUCCCCAAAUUCCUUUACCAUCAACAUGAACUGAAGGAAGCUGAACUCUCACACAUUAAGAUGAUUGGAGAAUUUCCAAAUUGGUUGUUGGAAAACAACACAAAAUUAGAAUUUCUUUACCUCGUGAAUGAUUCUCUUGCAGGACCUUUCCGCUUGCCAAUUCAUUCACAUAAGCGGUUAAGAUUCUUAGAUGUCUCCAACAACAACUUCCAAGGCCACAUUCCAGUAGAAAUUGGAGAUAUUUUACCAAGUUUAGUUUAUUUCAACAUUUCCAUGAAUGCUUUGGAUGGUAGCAUUCCCUCCUCAUUUGGCAACGUAAUCUUCCUCCAAUUUCUGGACUUAUCCAAUAAUAAAUUGACUGGUGAAAUCCCUGAUCACUUGGCCAUGUGUUGCGUCAACUUGGAGUUUCUUUCGCUAUCAAACAACAGCCUAAAAGGUCACAUCUUCUCCAGAAUUUUUAGCUUGAGAAACUUGAGAUGGUUACUAUUGGAGGGCAAUCACUUCGUAGGAGAGAUCCCACAAAGUUUGUCUAAAUGCUCCUCAUUAAAAGGAUUGUAUCUUAAUAAUAACAAUCUCUCGGGCAAGAUUCCACGAUGGUUGGGUAAUCUCAAAGGGUUACAACAUAUUGUAAUGCCCAAGAAUCAUCUUGAAGGUCCUAUUCCAGUGGAGUUUUGUCGGCUUGAUUCGCUUCAGAUUUUGGACAUUUCAGACAACAACAUAUCUGGAAGUUUACCAUCUUGUUUCUAUCCUCUUUCUAUCAAACAAGUUCACCUAUCGAAAAAUAUGUUACAUGGACAGCUAAAAGAAGGUACAUUUUUUAAUUGCUCUUCCCUUGUGACGUUAGAUCUUAGCUAUAACUACUUGAACGGGAGCAUUCCAGAUUGGAUUGAUGGGCUUUCUCAGUUAAGCCACCUUAACUUGGCUCACAAUAACCUUGAAGGUGAAGUGCCAAUUCAAUUGUGCAGAUUAAACCAACUGCAAUUGUUAGAUCUUUCUGAUAAUAAUCUUCACGGUCUUAUUCCUUCUUGCUUUGAUA
rnacentral:lncRNA from 1 species